CUGCCGAGCCGGCCGGGCUACUGAGCAUGCCCGGCACGGCGACAGCUGCCAAACUAAAGGACUUUAAGCUGCGGUUAAGCACUGAUUUCCCUUCCUAGGGGCCUAGCGUGAAAUGGGAGGGAACUAGCCAAGAGAGAGGAGGUGUAGCCCAUUUUACAGAUGGGAACACUGAGGCCCGGCAGGAUUCACGUAUGGUAAACUACCCAAGGACAGCAGAGAAGAGGGAAUACAUGCUCCCAGACAGGAUGGGCAAGGAGCCCUAAGCAUUUUGUUCCAGUUAAUGUAAACAGUCAUUACAAACAAACAAACCAACCCCCUUCCUUCAAAUACCAGGGCCUCUCUUGGAAGCUAACACACAAAAGGAGCCACUGGUCCCCUGCAAGGACACUUUGUCCACUGAUUAUGAACCAGGCACCUCACCAAGUGCAGUCCUAGGGCUGAUCCCACUACAUUUCUUUAUUUUUACCUUCCUGGGACACACAAAUAGGCCGGUGGAUGGAGAGACAUCUUUUCUCUGAUGCUGCAGAAAGAAGAAGGCUACUACCAUCAGUUGGGACUUCAAAAGUGUGUGUUAGACCCGCUGACCUUGUAGUCUCUCCCUCUGGCCUCUCAUGAGUUUAGCACCCGGUUAACAUUAAAAGCCAGCCCUGGGGAAAAAGAAAGAUAAAAGGCUGCUAGGCUCUUUCUUCAAACUGAUCUUAGAGCCAUCCAUUACCCCAGAGGUUUCUUUUUAUUUUUUCAAUUGGGGUAGAGUUGUUUUACUAUGUUGUGCUAGUUUCUACUGUACAGCUAAGUGGAGCAGAGUUCCCUGUGCUAUACAGCAGGUUCUCAUUAUUUAUCUAUUUUAUACACAUUAGUGUGCGUAUGUUAGUCCCAAUUCAUCCUGGCUUUCUGUGUCUCCCUUCUGCUACGUGUUCUCCUCUAAAUAAUCUGGGCCAUUAAUAGAGAAAUUAAAGCCAACAUGGAUUAGACAAAAGUAAGAAAUAAACACCUCCAAGGUUAUGGAAAAAUAUUUAUGAAUUAAAGGUUGCCUGAGAAUAAACAAGUAUUUAUUAAGCACAUACUACAUGGGCAACACCAAACUAGAUGUCGUGCGAAUAAAAAAGUACCAGAUGUUCUGCGCUAAAGGCAUACAUGUCUUCCUGAAGAAUCUCCUGUUCUGCAGAAUUGCGCACUAAAAAUAACAGGGCUUCUGGGGAAAACGUGGUUAGGGAAGGUCACUUAAACCCAAUGCAAAUUUGUAAUCAGAGCACUAAUGUAAACAAUAACCAUUCUAAUAAAAACACUCAGGAGUGUUUUUAAAAAAAACACUGGCAUCUGCACCCAGCAUCACAGCCAUCAAUGCUUGGUAGCCUUCACGCUUCCUCUUUCCCCAACGUGAAUCCUCAAGGGCAUUUACUUUUAAUAGACGCCAUUUUCAUCAGAAUUAAAAAUCUAAUUGAGGAGUAACCAACUUUUUAGAAUCACACAGUGAAAGGUCUUCACAGCUUCAUUAUCAGUACUCACAGCUUCACCAGCUAGUUUAAUGUGAUGGGAAAUUUAGAGGUUGUUGAAAUCACUAAACCAGUCACAAAAAAGGGGCAGUUUUGUGCAGGAUUCUUCUUUUUUUCUGAAAGUCUUCAUAUUGUGAAGGCUUCUCUUUAAUUGUGAGAAAGCUGGCUCCUGAUCACGUCAAAACUUAAAGUGCUAAAACACUUCACACGUGAACCAGUUGGCCUUCCACCUAAUUUUAAUGACACCAUUCUCCUAUUUACCAAUCACUAAUGUGCUAUUUGUGGUACACAAACCCUUGUAAUGGAACAGAGUGUAAAAUAUAAAUUCUUUGCCAUCAAAGGUAUAAAAUCUGCUUGAGAAAACAAACAAGGAAACGAAUGUGUGGAACAGUAAGAGCAAAUUGGCUGCCUAAUUUGGAGGUCCUGACCCAAAAUUCAGGAUAAUGUGGUGAAGGGGUGAGAUUUGUCAGGGCUAGAAUAGAAGUUUUCAAGGAGAACUUGAACUGCCAAGGGCUGAAGCAGAAAUCAUACUUGAAUAGGCAAAGCAAAGAAAGGAAGUAAGGAAAAGACAACAUAUGGAAUGGCCUGGAAACAAUACUGACCAAUAAUGUAGAGGGGCCAGUGGGGCUUGAGUAGAAUGGUGAGAACAUAGAUGUUGAAUAAUAGUAGGAAACAUGGUUCUCCCCAUAGCGUUUGCCCAGUAUGUAAACAGAUUUAAAUAUAAGACAUAAUAGUAGUGACUGAUAAGGAUAUUUAGCAGGAAUGUUAUAAAAUAAAGGAAUAUUUUAAGGAGCUGGUCUGGCAGUGGUAUGCAGAAUAACUGGACACUGAUUCUCCAACUUAUUUUUCUCUCAGUGCAGAAUUGUUUUUCCCCCAAACAAAACCUUUACAGAAGCUCAGUAUGUACAACAGAUACAAAUCUAGCUGACCUGUUUGAAGUUACUGUGGGAAUGGAGAUUGCAGUCCUCAUGACCGCUUGGCUUCUCUCUUAUCCUCUGAGGCGACCCUUUGAGGCACCAGUGCUGAGCUCUAGCUAAAACUAGAUAGAGUCCUGCUGGAUAAAGUCAUGAGGAUCAGAGCUAGAGUAGCCCCAGAGGAAAUAAAGAGAAAGGAACGAAUCCAAGAGAUGUUUAAAGGAACACACUGUUCCUCUCCACAGAUUACAUACAGGAAACAAAGGGAAUGAAAAAGUAAACAAGAAUUACUAAAACGUUGGCCCAAGGCAAUAAAAACCUAGUAGUAAACUGGGAGAUAGUAUCUUAACAGGUACUUGUCGUUGGCAGGCAGAGCCAGACCAAGGAGCCUGAUACCCAGACACUAAAGAGACUCAUUAGGUCAGGACAGGAAAGCUAACAAGGUUUCUGUAGUCACCAACAGAAAGAGUCUGGAAAGGCUGGUAAAGCAGAAGGUUGUGUAACAGUAGGCAAGAAGGCAGACAGCUAAACUCUGGAAGUCUAACGAUGGAUGUCCUGUCAGGCAGGCAGAGAAUAGAAUCCAGUCUGGUGGCAGGCACUAGGCAGAGAAUGAAGCAAGCAGUACGUAGUAGGAAUCCAGUCAGGGGGUUUGGGAUUAAGAAACAAAUGAACAAUCCCUUAAGAGGUCUGGAAAAACAGUGCUAAACAAGGCAGCGCACCAAGCCUAAAUGAAUCGGCAUGUCAGGUGAAGUCCACGAGAAAAGGCAGAGACAGGCGAAUAAAAAUGGCACCCAAGAGACCCAGUUACUUCAACUGGUCUGUGAGAUCUAAGUAGGACCAGAAGCAAUAGGCCCACUGGAUGCUAAGCCACCAAACUACUGAAAUACUGCUCCUUAAAUCCUUUCUGAGUAGAAGCAGGAUUGGUCCCAGUAGAAGAAAAGUGGACAACAAGAAAAGGCCUGGAAACAGUAAUGACCAAUAGUAGUCACUUACCUGGAUGUAAAGGUUAAUGUGUUGAGUUGUGAUGAUUACAGGGUUUGGUGUAGCUAAGACAUAGCCCAACAAAAAUCAGUCUAAGAGAUAAUAGUGCCAAUGUCUCCUUUUGGGGAAAAUGUUGAGACUGCUAGAGACUGAGAAUUCCCAGAUUCGUGCUAUCUAUGGUUUUAUACAGUAUGCUGAAAAGCAACCCUUUGAAUUUUAUCUGGAAAAUAUGCUUCUAACAAAGAACAGACUUCCUGUUCUACAUUAACCAAAGCCCCCAGAGUGCUUUUCAAGAGUGGCUUAACAGAUCAUAAAUGGCAAUUGUCCAAUCUAUAAGUUACUAGGACAUAAAUGUAGUAAUAAACAGUGAGAGAAAAACGUUCGGUUUGCUUGCUAAAUUAUGUGGAUCACAGAAGCACACAUUGGUGGUUAUAGGGAUGCUAUCUAUUUAAUGAAAUUGAGGUUUUUUUUAAAUCAGUAUAAACAGUCUCUUGAAGAUGAGUAUAGUUCAAAAUUGAGACUACAAUUAUGCAAAUAAAAUUGAUUGUCUCUUUUACUUUGUGGUUUGUGUUUAUUUUCUGACCUUUUCAAAAUAUAAUUAACUACAUGAAAA